CCGAACUGAAUUUGAUGAGAUCAAACCUGGAGCCCAAUGAACAAACAUCCUUUAGGCGAUCUAGUAGAGUACCGCAUCAGUCGGACAGAUACUUAGUUUCUUUAUCCAGGAUGGGGAUCCUAUCGAACUUGAUGAAAAUGAUGAGGAUCCGAUCACCUACAUUAAUGUAAUGCAGAGAUCUGACUCUGAUAAAUGGUUUGAAGUCAUGAGAUCCAAAAUAGAGUCCAUGAAAGUCAACGAUGUAUUGACAUUAGUUGACCCACCUGAAGGGGUAAAGCCCAUAGGUGUAAGUGGGUCUUCAAGAGGAAGAGGGGUGC
rnacentral:lncRNA from 1 species